CUUCUUUCAUGUGUAUAUUCUUAGAUUUAGAAGCAAUUUGUGUCCUUUUUCAAAGUGCAUCUCUGACAAAUCAACCAUGAAGGCUCAAGCAUUGUUGCUCAUUGCUCUUGUUGUAGCUGCAACACUUUUGACAGCAGAAUGUCACCUAGUGGGUGGAAAAGAAAGAAUGCCACCAAGACCUGGUGCUCCACCCUCGCAUUCUCCAGAGACAAAAAGUCCAGAAACUCAUCCAAGUCAACCAAUCUAUGGCAGACAUCCCAACAGUGAUAAAGAAGGAUUUAAACAUGGACAUCACUGAUUGAAGUCUCAGAAGCCUACUGGUAAAGGAAAUGGAUUUGAACGUCGAUAUCCCUGAUGGAAUUCUCAUAGGACUGCCAGUCUCCAUCUAGGCAGCAAGCAUCUUUGACAGUUGUCAGCCAUUAUACUGGGGAAAGUGAUCAGUAGUUAUUUUCCAAACAAAAUAAAUAUUGUUGCUAUCAUAUCAGUUAUCAUAGUUUGCAUGUGUGCAUUACAAUGAUCAGAAAAAAGGUACUGUGCUCAUUGCACCUACAGAUUUGCAAGCAGCAUUUUGUGGUCAGCAAUAGUGUUCAUGGCCAUGGAAAGUGCUUACAGGUAUGAGCACUGAAUGUAAACAAAACGGCUUAUGUACAGGCAAUGCUCACAAACGAGCAUGAGUUGUAACCCAGACAUAUUAUGGGCAAGCUUGUGGAAAGAAUAAAGAAGAAGGGGAAGUGAAAUGGGGAAGUUGUACACAAAUUGUGUUAUACUGCAUAAUUAAUUAAUAUUGACGUAGAAAUGUUUAAAGUGUACUCAUAUACUGCAGGCAAAUGUGAUGAAGUGUAUGUGAAGCAUUUCUGACAUAAACCUGCAAUAUUAAUUUAAUAAUUAAUGCCAAUGACAAUACCACAGUUAUUUACAUAAAUAAAAUCAGACAUGCUAAUAAAUAAUAGAGAUAUAAAGUUGCAGUGCAAAAAAGGUGAGUGUAAAAGUGAUAUACAUGUUUAUUAAAUGCUGAGUUGAGAUAACAGUUACCAAGGACAGAAAGAUACAUUAUUGGAAUGCAUGCACAGGCUGCAGUUAUUGCAUAUGAGAUGUAUAAACAGGAAAUCUAUGUAUGCAAACUGAAACCACUUCUGUAUUCUUCACUUCAGCAUGUAUACACAAGAACAAAAGAACCUUACAGCUGUAAUGUCAGGCACAUAAGAAAUGAAC